AUUAAACGCUGGCGGCAGGCCUAACACAUGCAAGUCGAGCGGAGCGGCGGACGGGUGAGUAAUGCCUAGGAAUUUGCCUGGUGGUGGGGGAUAACGUCCGGAAAAGGGCGCUAAUACCGCAUACUAUCAGAUGAGCCUAGGUCGGAUUAGCUAGUUGGUGGGGUAAAGGCCUACCAAGGCGACGAUCCGUAACUGGUCUGAGAGGAUGAUCAGUCACACUGGAACUGGGACACGGUCCAGACUCCGACGGGAGGCAGCAGUGGGGAAUGUUGGACAAUGGGCGAAAGCCUGAGCCAGCCCUGCCGCGUGUGUGAAGAAGGUCUUCGGAUUGUAAAGCACUUUAAGUUGGGAGGCGUUACGAUCAGAAUAAGCACCGGCUAACUUCGUGCCAGCAGCCGCGGUAAUAC
rnacentral:rRNA from 1 species